rnacentral:rRNA from 1 species
CCUACGGGAGGCAGCAGUGGGGGAUAUUGCACAAUGGGGGGAACCCUGAUGCAGCGACGCCGCGUGGGUGAAGGAGUGCUUCGGCAUGUAAAGCCCUAUCGGCAGGGAAGAAGCAAGACGGUACCUGACUAAGAAGCCCCGGCUAACUACGUGCCAGCAGCCGCGGUAAUACGUAGGGGGCGAGCGUUAUCCGGAUUCACUGGGUGUAAAGGGAGCGUAGACGGCCAUGCAAGCCAGGGGGGAAAGCCCGGGGCCCAACCCCGGGACUGCCCUUGGAACUGUGCGGCUAGAGUGCGGGAGGGGCAGGCGGAAUUCCUGGUGUAGCGGUGAAAUGCGUAGAUAUCAGGAGGAACACCGGCGGCGAAGGCGGCCUGCUGGACUGCGACUGACGUUGAGGCUCGAAAGCGUGGGGAGCGAACAGGAUUAGAUACCAUGGUAGUC